CGGGCGGAAGAAGCAACCGGACCAGCUUCAGACAGCAGAGGGAUGGGCUAAGUUCACUGGAGGGUUCUUCUUCGGAGGGAUCUCAGGUGUGACUUGGGCUUACUUCCUUCUCUACGUUCUUGACCUUCCUUAUUACGUCAAAUGAAAGUAGUAAAAAUAUGAGUUUCACCAAUAUUCUGGACCUUCAAAUACUCUCUUGCAUCAUUGUUUUUUUUUACUCUUGUCUUCAUCAAGAAUCUUGAAUUUCAUGAUGCUUAAUGUAUACUACUAUGAAUAUUUUCUUAGCUUUUCUUCGUGUUUGUUG
rnacentral:lncRNA from 1 species